rnacentral:rRNA from 1 species
AUGACGUACUUGUACUGAUUGAGAUUUUAACACGAAGUGAGUGGCGAACGGGUGAGUAACACGUGGGUAACCUGCCCAGAAGUAGGGGAUAACACCUGGAAACAGAUGCUAAUACCGUAUAACAGAGAAAACCGCAUGGUUUUCUUUUAAAAGAUGGCUCUGCUAUCACUUCUGGAUGGACCCGCGGCGUAUUAGCUAGUUGGUGAGGUAAAGGCUCACCAAGGCAGUGAUACGUAGCCGACCUGAGAGGGUAAUCGGCCACAUUGGGACUGAGACACGGCCCAGACUCCUACGGGAGGCAGCAGUAGGGAAUCUUCCACAAUGGACGCAAGUCUGAUGGAGCAACGCCGCGUGAGUGAAGAAGGGUUUCGGCUCGUAAAGCUCUGUUGUUAAAGAAGAACGUGGGUAAGAGUAACUGUUUACCCAGUGACGGUAUUUAACCAGAAAGCCACGGCUAACUACGUGCCAGCAGCCGCGGUAAUACGUAGGUGGCAAGCGUUAUCCGGAUUUAUUGGGCGUAAAGCGAGCGCAGGCGGUCUUUUAAGUCUAAUGUGAAAGCCUUCGGCUCAACCGAAGAAGUGCAUUGGAAACUGGGAGACUUGAGUGCAGAAGAGGACAGUGGAACUCCAUGUGUAGCGGUGAAAUGCGUAGAUAUAUGGAAGAACACCAGUGGCGAAGGCGGCUGUCUGGUCUGCAACUGACGCUGAGGCUCGAAAGCAUGGGUAGCGAACAGGAUUAGAUACCCUGGUAGUCCAUGCCGUAAACGAUGAUUACUAAGUGUUGGAGGGUUUCCGCCCUUCAGUGCUGCAGCUAACGCAUUAAGUAAUCCGCCUGGGGAGUACGACCGCAAGGUUGAAACUCAGAAGAAUUGACGGGGGCCCGCACAAGCGGUGGAGCAUGUGGUUUAAUUCGAAGCUACGCGAAGAACCUUACCAGGUCUUGACAUCUUCUGACAGUCUAAGAGAUUAGAGGUUCCCUUCGGGGACAGAAUGACAGGUGGUGCAUGGGUGUCG